UGGAUGGUGAGGAAAUGUGCGUCCUGUAAAACGAGUUCAGCUCUUCCCUGCCGUUAUUUGAGCUCAAUCACUCAUACAGUUUAGGUAUGGCUCACAACUGCGUGGGGAACUGUGCGCCGUUAUUUUUACUAGCCAUCGCUUUUGACGUCUGCGGUUUGAUAGUUAUUUUAGUUGGUAUUUUCGCCGAUCUAAAGUUGGACGGUCACUUCUACGGUGAUUUCCUAAUCUACACGGGUGCACUCAUCAUUUUCCUCAGUCUGGCUUGGUGGAUUUUGUGGUACACGGGCAACAUAAAGGUUUACUCCGAGGACUUUGAUAAAAGCACCCUGGACAAUUUUGCGCACUGGGCAAGAACGUUUUCGGAAAGGCUCUCGAAGAGCAAGAUUAAAACUCUGGAAGCUGGGGAGAAGUGCAAGUGGAAUGGAAAGGAAUCAGUGAACGGAACGGUUCCUGAUCAAACUCUAUCACGAAUUACGUGUGAACACGGCAGCAGCCUGACGGGACACGACAAUCUAGGAUAUGACCGAAGUUUUGACCACCAGCCUCCAGAGAAAACGGUGGAGUUGGGGAUUCUGAAUAAUUCUGAGGUGUUGCAGAGCAUUAUGGAUGGAAAAGUGGUUAGGCUUCUCUGACAUACAGUUGGUGAUCUCUGGUUUUCCUCUGUUGCAGGUGAUCUCUGGUUCUCCGGUUGUGAAGAAAGUAUGCCUCGUUCCUCCCCAAGAGCUGCUUUUUAAAUCCAUACAAGACUGUAAACCUUUUCGCCUAUAUGAACUAAAGACACUUUAAAUAUAGAAGACUACUUUCAUUCAGGGAGAGGCCCCGCGCUGAAGCAAUCACCGGGCCCUGCACAAAGGAUAGAAAUCCUGAACUUCUGGUACGUGGGCAACCUGAAGGUGGACGACUUCCUGCCCAAGUGACCCUCUACUUCUGGGGCUUAGAGAGAUACGGAGGUAGAGGUGAGGACUGGUGAUGUGGGUCUAGGAUGGGCAUGGAGUGAAAAUGUAGUAAUUACAACAUAAUGUUUUGAAGACAGAGGAUCCACCCUGGACAUCAAUUGUGUCUUUCUAUAAUCUAGGGUACCAGUGAGGAUUUCCUACACUGGAGGACUUGUUCCAGCUGUUGAUAAAGCCAGGUGUACACUACACUACUUUUGCCUCUUGCAUUAAACAACAGUCUUACCUGUAAUUUUUUAAUGCUUGGAGCAAAUCCAACACAACAUAUCACUGAGCAACUGCCUCCUUAUUUUCAAGCAAAGUAGUUGUUGCAUCAUAGUAUGAGUAUGCUUGACAUCGGCAAAUACUGGGCGCUUUACACCAAAGAAAUGGGGUGGAGCUUUACACUAGACACUGGGAGAUGAAUUCACCUUUCAGCAGGACAAUAACCUACAACACAAGGCCAAAUCUACACUGGAGUUGCUUACCAAGAUGACAGUCAGUGUUCCUGAGUGGCCAAGUUACAGUGUUGACUUAAAUCUGCUUGAAAAUCUAUGGCAAGACUUCAACAUUGCUGUCUAGUCAUGAUCCCCAACAACUUGACAUAGCUUGAAGAAUUAUGAAAAUAAUAUUGGCUAAUAUUGCACAAUCCAGGUGUGUAAAGCUCUUUGAGACUUACCCAGGAAGACUCCCAGCUGUAAUGACUCUUAGGCCUCCCAAGAAAACUCCCAGCUGUAAUCGCUGACAAAGUUUAUUCUAACAUGUAUUGACUCAGUGGGCUGAGAACUUAUGCAAUAACUAUAUUUUAGUUAUAAAAUGUGUGAUUUUUUUUUUUAAAGUGUUGAUUUUUCUUCCACUUUGAAAGUACCAAGUAUUUUGUGUGGAUUGUUGACAAACAAAAAUGUACAUUUAAAUCCAUUUUAAGCCCACUUUGUAACAAACGCAGGGUAGCCUAGUGGUUAGGGCGUUGGUCUAGUAACUGGAAUGUUGCAAGUUCCAAUCCCCAAGCUGACAAGGUACAAAUCUGUCGUUCUGCCCCUGAACAGGCAGUUCACCUGCUGUUCCUAGGCUGUCAUUGAAAAUAAGAAUUUGUUCUUAACUGACUUGCCUAGUUAAAUAAAGGUUAAAAAAAACACUUGAAAACCACUGCAUAUCUCGAUAGGCCUUCAUGGUUUAAAUUAAGGCUAAAAUGUUCUGAAACACCUUGAAGUGUAUAAACAUUUGUUUUGGUAAAUACUUCCAUAUUUAGCUGUAUUCUAUUCUCUUUCAGAUUCCUUCUUUGCUGGAACUACAUCACUGCAUGAUGAUCAUUGAGUGAUGUUUACACCUCAACAAGACUGAAGACUUGCAUCUAAACAUGUGACUGUCGCGUGUUCUGGGACCCUGGCUUUUUAUAACGUCGAUACUGUUUUGUUUUUGAGGCUGUGAAUUUUUGGGGGGUGUUUAUCACAUUUAUGAUGUUUUUUUUAAGGUUGAUUACAAUUUGAAUAUUACAACACUUUUAAAAAGAUUGUGCUGAUUUGAAUUGUACAAAUCUCAUUUGACUUUUUUAGAGUUAACAAAAAAAAGCACUGUUACUUUACAUUGAAAUAAGUUGUUUUCCCCCACUGGUGAUUUUCCUAUUGUGAAAUCCGAGUGUUCAGUUGCUUUCACCAGACAAUAGAAACCAGUUAAACUGGGUAUGUCACCUACACUGGGGCAGGGAAUGCUCUCACUUUACAACAAUGGGGUCAUGGAAGAAGGAGGAACUGUUUCCAAUUACCUUUUAUUAGGCAACUAAGGAAUAUCCCACCAAGUCCCAAUGACAAGGACAUUUUUCUGUCUUGUUCUGAUCAAAUAUUUACAUGAUUUCCUGGACGGAUUUGAUUUUGAUUCCCAUGUACCUAGAGUAAACCUUGCGUGUGCAUUAGUAUGUGACAUAACUGGUUCAGUGUGGCAAACCCUGGCACACCCAUGUACUGUGUUGACAUUUAAACUCUCUGCUGGGUGAUAAUCUCUCUCUGUACACGAGCAAUGAAGGCUGGAGAAGUAACCCUGGUCAACAACUCAGAGUAAUUGUUUAAGACAACAGGGUAAAGAAUGUAGUCGUUUUUAUUGAAGUUUCCAGCAGCUAUUUGAUAUGACUGAUAAUGAGCAGAGAAUUUUAUUCACCCAAAACUUACGCAUUGGGAUUGUCUUCAGAGACAAAUUGUCAGUUGUGUAAAAGUACUUAAGUAAAAAUACU